rnacentral:lncRNA from 1 species
AGCUAUGAAAUGUUCCCCAAGCGUAAUUAUAAGUCUAUUACAUCAGGCUCAUUCUAUGGCAUUUUCAUUACUGUUAUUUUCUAGCUAUUCGGUAGUUUGAGCUGUGCUUCUCUCUUUGUUCUAGGGGUCAUUCAAAGAAGAGAGUGGGAUUGGUGGUGUCUCUGUCCUUGCAAACCCGUUAUGAUUUUAUUGUGAUCAGAUAAUACUAUCUUUCCGUUUCUACUUUUGAUUAAUUAUUGAAGUUUUAAUCGUAAACGAAUACAAGAUUAAGCUAAUUAUGCCAUGAGAAAAAGGUUGCAGAGGUGAUCCAGCAGGAAACCUAUGUUCCAAAGAAGCAUGUAGGAGAUGAAUUCAGAGAAUGCUGCUGCAAAGGGCGUGGUUGCAGUGCUUAAGAGAUGGCUCAGGUAUUGAAGAGAUGUUUAACGAUUUACUGACCUUCUGCAAAAUCUUGUGCUUGAUGAAAAGCUGCAAUGUGACCUCUGGCAUGAAGGAUUUCCAACACAAAUGGACACCAGAUCCUCUCAAAAUCUGAGAUCCCAAAAUCUAGGUUAGUGGGAAGUGCAUAUUAACUGUUAAAUAUGGUAUAAAAAUAAAUAUUAACUCAUACUAAAACCUGGAACA